UUUAGAUUGGGCACAUUAAAUAAGGUUGUUUCACUCCAAAGAAGGUACUAGCUGACACCCUUGGGAGUAUCCCCCCACCCCCCGUCCACUUCAACCAGUAAGACUCUACACCACAUUCUAAUCCUGCCACUUUCCUCUUUAUCACAGAUUAAGCUGUCAGAGCAUCAGAGAUAGUAGUUCCCAACCUCUUGCUCUGUGAUUUGUAAAACACUAGAGAUGUGCUCACCCAGAAUAAGGAAAAUCUUAUCAGAUCCCAACCUGACUCCUCCAUCUGGCAGGCAGUAUUUAUUGGGCAAUAAUAAUACCAAAGUUACCUUUUGGAUGGCGGAAUGUUGUUGCCUGCUGUGUCUCCAGAGAAGCAAUGUCCUGUCCACACUGGAUGCUUAGGAAGUAUCAUGGAGCAAGUGAGUGAACACAGGAGUGAAUGACAGUCUUCGAUCCUUGUGUCCCCACCAUUUCUCCACCUGCGGGUCUCAGUCUGGUUCCUGAAAAAAAAGCAAGUAGAGCUCUGACUUCAUACCACGCACUCUUUGCACAGAUGUCUGCACCUACAAUUUGGCUUUCUCCUGUUACUCUCUCCAGACUCAAGGCUGUUGACUUAAGAUAUUGACUGAAGUCAUUCUUCU
rnacentral:lncRNA from 1 species